UGGGUUACACACGUGCUACAAUGGUUGGUACAACGAGUUGCGAGUCGGUGACGGCGAGCUAAUCUCUUAAAGCCAAUCUCAGUUCGGAUUGUAGGCUGCAACUCGCCUACAUGAAGUCGGAAUCGCUAGUAAUCGCGGAUCAGCACGCCGCGGUGAAUACGUUCCCGGGCCUU
rnacentral:rRNA from 1 species